rnacentral:tRNA from 1 species
GCCUUUAGCUCAGUGGUUAGAGCGUUCGACUCAAAUGCCGGUGUGUGAUGAGGUGGCGGGUUCGAGGCCCGUGAGCGGCG